GAUGAACGCUGACAGAAUGCUUAACACAUGCAAGUCAACUGUGGCGGACGGGUUAGUAACGCGUAGAGAACUUGCCUCACAGAUAGGGACAACAUUUGGAAACGAAUGCUAAUACCUGAUACUGUGAGAGAGCUUUGCGUCCCAUUAGCUAGUUGGAGAGGUAACGGCUCACCAAGGCGAUGAUGGGUAGCCGGCCUGGGAGGGUGAGCGGGCACAAGGGGACAGGGACACGGGCAUUAGGCAAACGGGAGGCAGGAGUGGAGAAUUGUGGACAAUGGACCGAAGUGUGAUGCAGCAAUUCGGUGUGCAAGAUUAAGUUGUCGGAAUGUAAAGGGCUUUCAGUUGGGAAGCGGUACCAACAGAAGAAGUGACGGCUAAAUACGUGCCAGCAGCCGCGGUAAUUC
rnacentral:rRNA from 1 species